UACGUAGGGUGCGAGCGUUGCCCGGAUUUAUUGGGCGUAAAGGGCGCGUAGGCGGCCUGGCAAGUGGAAGGUGAAAUCCCUCGGCUUAAACCGAGGAACUGCCCUCCAAACUGCUUGGCUUGAGUCCGGGAGAGGUGAGUGGAAUUCCCAGUGUAGCGGUGAAAUGCGUAGAUAUUGGGAGGAACACCAGUGGCGAAGGCGGCUCACUGGACCGGAACUGACGCUGAGGGCGCGAAAGCGGUGGGGAGCAAACGGG
rnacentral:rRNA from 1 species